GACGAACGCUGGCGGCGUGCCUAAUACAUGCAAGUAGAACGCUGAAGGAGGAGCUUGCUUCUCCGGAUGAGUUGCGAACGGGUGAGUAACGCGUAGGUAACCUGCCUGGUAGCGGGGGAUAACUAUUGGAAACGAUAGCUAAUACCGCAUAACAGUAGAUAUCGCAUGAUAUCUGCUUGAAAGGUGCAAUUGCAUCACUACCAGAUGGACCUGCGUUGUAUUAGCUAGUUGGUGAGGUAACGGCUCACCAAGGCGACGAUACAUAGCCGACCUGAGAGGGUGAUCGGCCACACUGGGACUGAGACACGGCCCAGACUCCUACGGGAGGCAGCAGUAGGGAAUCUUCGGCAAUGGACGGAAGUCUGACCGAGCAACGCCGCGUGAGUGAAGAAGGUUUUCGGAUCGUAAAGCUCUGUUGUAAGAGAAGAACGAGUGUGAGAGUGGAAAGUUCACACUGUGACGGUAUCUUACCAGAAAGGGACGGCUAACUACGUG
rnacentral:rRNA from 1 species